GACAAAAACUAUCCGAUGAAUUAUCGUGUGAAGGCUGCGCACGUCAGUUUGCAGAGAAUAUUUCCUCACAAAAAAUAUGAUUUUAAAAUAUAAGUGAAGCCAAAUUUACGUUAAAAUACCUCACCUGAACUGAUUGUCAAUGGAGUAUAUGUGACAACAAACUCAGUUCAGCCAGUUGAUGUAACACCAAUGAACCAUUGAUGUAAAGUAAGGGCCAAGUAUCAAUACGGAAUUGACACUGCGUUUGUACUGCGUCGAUAAAGAAGAAGAGGAAGACAAAGAGUCACAGAAGGGGCGACAAGAACAAAUUGCGUUUGUUUCAGGCAACAGAGGUGACAUAAAAAAUGAGACAUUGAUAGCGACAUAAUUACAUUGUACACUAACCUACCGAUGCACAUAAAUCAAAAAUUGGAUGGAGAUAUUGUUACAAUUGCUUCAUAAUUAACUAUGGUAGACUAUUCUACUAAUGUAAACCAUUAAACGAAGACUGAUAUGUUUCACAAGCGUAAUUAAACGUAAUUAAGUACUUGAUCAAUUGUAACGCUUUAAUAAUCACAAUUGGUUCGUUGAGAUUUGCUCAGUUAUUUUGUUCCAGAAUAUACGGCGAAGUAACGACACAACCAUAGGAAAAGUACAAUCAGUUAUUUUAAACCAGACUUACAAGAAACCGCAAGAAAAAUUGUUGUCACGAAUUUUAUAAAACAGGACGAUCAUAUAACUUGAAAAAUAUUAUUGAUAGAUACUAUUUAAAAAUAAUAUACUUGAAAAUAUAUAACCUAUAAUAGUUUUGUUAAAAAAAUAGAACAGCAUUCAUGAACUGGAAACGUCUAAAAACUGAAAAAUCAGCUAGCGGAAUUUGUAUUCUUUUAUAAAUCGUAGUAAAAUUGCGACUCCUUUUCACAAACAACCACAAACAUCUUACCGUGUGUCAGGUGUGAUUUCUUAUAAAAAUCACCAGUCUGUCAUGAGAAGCAAGACUUGAUUCCAUCUCCAACUAAACAAUGAUAAGGUUUUGAAAUAGAUACUACGAACGAAAAACUUUACGUUCCAAAGAAGAAAUUAAAGGAGUUGUUAUUACUCGUUAAGGUAGCAUUAGAACGCAAAAGAAUCACGCCAAGACAAAUGUCGAGAAUUGCCGGAAAUCUUAAUUCCAUGAGUACCGGAAUAGGUUCACUAUGCAGGUUGUUCACACUCCAAAUGUAAGGUUUAUUAUAUCGAAUCGGAAUGUUUAUAAGAACUAAACUUUUGGAAAUAUAUAUAUAUACAAUUGGUUUUGCUAACAACAUAAACAAGUUCUUUGGUAUUCUGAUAAUUUUAAUGUUUCGCGCAUCAUUGAAGUCGGUAGUACAAAACCUCAAUUGCAAGCAUUAGCCGUACUAAUUUUCAACUUUUGUAUUCAAUACGACAAUAAAUUAGAAUCGUCGUGGAACCCUAGAGAACUUAAUACUUUGGCUGAUGAGUUAUCAAAAUAUAACGAUGCGGACAAUUAAACAUUUUCUUUCAUUCAGAGUAAAUUUGGCACAUUUACGCUUGACAGGUUUGCUGAUAACUUGAACAAAAAAGUGCCAAAGUUCAAAAUUUUAUUGCCCAGGGACGUCUUGCGUUAAUAAUUAAUACAGCAUCACUUUGAAAUGUCU